UGUGGUCCAGUGAUUUUAAAAGUUUUCAAAU
rnacentral:piRNA from 1 species